rnacentral:lncRNA from 1 species
CCUCACUUGGGACAUGCGACGAGGCCCCAUCUUCUGCCCGGGCCCGGGGGACAUGAGACAGGACACAAGCACCUGGACUCGUCCAGACUCCCCAGAGACACCCCUCCCCACAAGCAGCUGGGCCCCCACCCACAGCUCAUUGCUGGUCCAGAACCUGGUCUCCCACACAGGAGAGAAGCAAAGGCCCAGUGGGAGAGGAUGCACAGGUCUCGGGCACAAAGCUGUAGAGGCUUUGGGGAACUUUCCAUCUGCGACUGUCAUCAACAGUGCUGCAGGCACAUUCUGCUACCCAGCUGGUGACCAGGUGCAUUUCUGUUGGACAUGCACCUAGAAGUGGUGUCGCUGGUCAAGGACAGCUUGGGACCAGCUUCAGUGGUCAGGGCCACGUGGUUUUCCAAAGUUCCAACACACCAUCUCACCAGCCAGCAAAGACCAGCUGCUCCACGUUCCCACCAAUCUGGGUGUUUUCCAGCAUUGCCACGGAAGCCGUUGGGCCAGGCGUGCAGGGCAUCGACCUGCAUUUCAAUUUGUGUUUGCAUUUUCCUGGUGACGAGUGAAGAUAAGCACCUUCUCAUGUGUUUAUUGGAUUCUGGGU